UAGCGUAUAUUAAAGUUGUUGCAGUUAAAAAGCUCGUAGUUGGAGUUCAGAUUGAGCUCGGCCGGUCGGCCUAAUUGGUCAGAACUGGUUGACUCUGUCUUGUUUGUGGAUCCCUCCGGAGUUAACUCUUCGGAUGUGGAGUCCACAUCGUUUACCUUGAAAAAAUUAGAGUGUUCAAAGCAGGCGUUUGCUUGAAUAUAUUAGCAUGGAAUAAUGGAAUAGGACGCUGGUUCUAUUUUGUUGGUUUUGAGAACCAGAGUAAUGAUUAAUAGGGACAGUUGGGGGCAUUCAUAUUUCAUUGUCAGAGGUGAAAUUCCUGGAUUUAUGAAAGAUGAACUUCUGCGAAAGCAUUUGCCAAGGAUGUUUUCAUUAAUCAAGAACGAAAGUUAGGGGAUCGAAGACGAUCAGAUACCGUCGUAGUCUUAACCAUAAACUAUGCCGACUAGGGAUUGGACGUGGUUUGUUCAUUGACCCGUUCAGCACCUUACGAGAAAUCAAAGUCUUUGGGUUCCGGGGGGAGUAUGGUCGCAAGGCUGAAACUUAAAGAAAUU
rnacentral:rRNA from 1 species